rnacentral:tRNA from 1 species
GGCGCCGUAGGCGAACUGGAAAGCCACCGGCCUCGCAAGAUCGGAGAUGCGGGUUCGAGUCCCGCCGGCGCCU